CAAAGGCCCAACAAGUAUUAUAAAGCUUUAUAAAGUUAGAUACAUGUAAUACUGGAAAUAAUAUACCGUAAGGUCAUGUUGUCCAUAAGACCAUAUUGUGGUCUGUUUUUUAAUGCUCAUGACCUGUCUUUACAUUGUGUUGAGGUAGUUCGAUCUAGUUGUCACUCUUUUUUGUGGAAUGGGGUAAACAAAAUGCAGUGUAGUAUGUGAAGUAUGCAGAUAUUAUCACUCCUGUGCACACAGUUCUGGUAUAAACACACCAUGUGUUUACAUGUAUUACAUUUUUUGGCCUACAUGGCCAUCAUCAGGUACAUAAAACUUUUACAGCCACCCAUCUUUCACUCUGCUGCUUUUAUUUUCUUUGUGUGGCCUGCCCUGAAGUACACAGGCCACAGAGGAAAAGAAAAGAACACAAAAAUAACACAUCACACACUAGGCCAACAUAUAACCGCAACAUCAACACAAGGUAAGGAAAACCGACAUAUACUCCUACCCAAAUAUACAAACUAGUAAAACACGCACUGACAACACAUUCAUAUUUCAGAUGAUAGGAAUAAUUCCACAAAAAACAAGAAUACACAUUGGAGAACACCUAAAAAUUUGGCAACACAAAACAAAGGGACAUGACAACAUAAAGCAAAAGUGGGGGGGGGGCAGAUAGAAUACAUACACACUCUUUUAAACAUAUAAUUCAAUUUGAAUUUCAGUCAGAAUAUUUUAAUAUUUUUAAAAAAUUAAAUUGUAAUAUUAUAUACAUUUUAUAACAUAAGGGAAUUACAUAAACAACAUACAUGUACACCACACUCCGAGUAUGUAAACAAUUGUCAGUGCAGGGAGGUAUAGCAGGUAUGGCAUAAUUUAGAUAAUAUCCCAAUAUCUGGAUGGUCUGAGGAAAACCAUGAGAUAUCUCUGCUGGUCUCCAGAUUAGGAUUUAAACCUGGGACCUCCCAAGUACAAAGUAGAAGUGCCAUCCACUUCACUGCAAUUUCAGGUUCAUAACUGAAACCUAGUGAAUGCAUUGAUAAAUAUGUCUCCUUCCAGAUGAAGGAUAAGCUCAGAUAGCUGAGUCAUAUCAGGGGGUUGCAAGCUGGACAGCCAGGGUCAGAUGCCUGGCAGAGGCAAGACAUUUUUCUCUUCUCCAUGGCAGCCAGCCUCCUGAACUCUGGGUACUAGGAGCUUUUACCCCAGAGGAUACAACACGAGUGCAUAAUAAAAUUAAAUGACCCUUGUCAUACAUACCAUACUAAAGUAUAGUGUAUAAAGGACAUUCAAAUUAACUGGUCUGGUAGUACCAGGAUGCAGCAAAGUUCAAAUGGCACAGAAGAGGGUUAAAUACAUACAAGGUGGUGCCAGUUUUGGGAUGGUGAUUACACCUUUAGAAGAGAAUGAAUCUACUUCUUAAAGGAGGUAAAUGCAGAGUGUUCAUACCCAUAACCAGGGUACCUCACCAGCUUCAGAGUAGCAAGUUCUUCUUGAGUGGGUCGCCAUUCAUCCUGAGCUCUUGCCCUCCGACCUUUGCGUCUGCGUCCUUCUUCAGUACGUUCCUUUAAAC